UACGGAGGGGCUAGCGUUGUUCGGAAUUACUGGGCGUAAAGCGCACGUAGGCGGCUUUGUAAGUUAGAGGUGAAAGCCCGGGGCUCAACCCCGGAAUUGCCUUUAAGACUGCAUCGCUAGAAUUGUGGAGAGGUAAGUGGAAUUCCGAGUGUAGAGGUGAAAUUCGUAGAUAUUCGGAAGAACACCAGUGGCGAAGGCGACUUACUGGACACAUAUUGACGCUGAGGUGCGAAAGCGUGGGGAGCAAACAGG
rnacentral:rRNA from 1 species